rnacentral:rRNA from 1 species
UAUUUAUUAGAUAAAAAACCAAUGCCCUUCGGGGCUCUUUGGUGAUUCAUGAUAACUUAACGGAUCGCAUGGCCUUGCGCCGGCGACGGUUCAUUCAAAUUUCUGCCCUAUCAACUUUCGAUGGUAAGGUAUUGGCUUACCAUGGUUUCAACGGGUAACGGGGAAUUAGGGUUCGAUUCCGGAGAGGGAGCCUGAGAAACGGCUACCACAUCCAAGGAAGGCAGCAGGCGCGCAAAUUACCCAAUCCCGACACGGGGAGGUAGUGACAAUAAAUACUGAUACAGGGCUCUUUUGGGUCUUGUAAUCGGAAUGAGUACAAUUUAAACCCCUUAACGAGGAACAAUUGGAGGGCAAGUCUGGUGCCAGCAGCCGCGGUAAUUCCAGCUCCAAUAGCGUAUAUUAAAGUUGUUGCCGUUAAAAAGCUCGUAGUUGAACCUUGGACCUGGCUGAUCUGUCCUCCUAAUCGAGCGCACGGAUUCGGUCGGGUCUUUCCUUCUGGGGAGCCCUAUGCCCUUCACUGGGUGUAGUGGGGAACCAAGACUUUUUACCUUGAAAAAGUUGCAGUGUUACAGGCUC